rnacentral:rRNA from 1 species
UACGGGGGGGGCAAGCGUUGUUCGGAAUUACUGGGCGUAAAGGGCUCGUAGGCGGCCAACUAAGUCAGAUGUGAAAUCCCCAGGCUUAACCUGGGAACUGCAUCUGAUACUGGAUGGCUUGAAUCCGGGAGAGGGAUGCAGAAUUCCAGGUGUAGCGGUGAAAUGCGCAGAUAUCAGGAGGAACACCGAUGGCGAAGGCAGGUCUCUGGGCCAUAACUGACGCUGAGAAGCGAAAGCAUGGGGAGCGAACAGG